AGAAUCAACGCUGGCGGCGUGCCUAACACAUGCAAGUCGCACGAGAAAGGGACUUCGGUCCUGAGUACAGUGGCGCACGGGUGAGUAACACGUGAAUCAUCUACCUCCGAGUGGGGAAUAACCUAGAGAAAUCUGGGCUAAUACCGCAUAACACUUACGAGUCAAAGCAGCAAUGCGCUUGGAGAGGAGUUCGCGGCAGAUUAGUUAGUUGGCGGGGUAAUGGCCCACCAAGACGAUGAUCUGUAUCCGGCCUGAGAGGGCGCACGGACACACUGGAACUGAAACACGGUCCAGACUCUUACGGGAGGCAGCAGUGGGGAAUUUUGCGCAAUGGGGGAAACCCUGACGCAGCAACGCCGCGUGGAGGAUGAAAUAUCUUGGUAUGUAAACUCCUUUCGAUGGGGAAGAUAAUGACGGUACCCAUAGAAGAAGCCCGGCUAACUUCGCGCCAGCAGCCGC
rnacentral:rRNA from 1 species